rnacentral:lncRNA from 1 species
CGUUCUUUGUUGGUACAACUGCCUGUAGAAAACUGCGGCCAAUCAUUUUUCAUCAAUCAGUGUCAAUUGUUCCAAUCGGUUCUUGACCAAUCAUUAUCCUCAAUCUCGGCUUCAACAAUGAUGCGAAGAGAGGGAAUUUCAACUUCUUCCGAUUUCAUUGGGACUUGGCUUAGGCCUACUGUUCCAAUUCUUUAUUUAUUUUCUCACAAGCCUUAUCUUCAACAUAUUCUGCUUCUUGAUUCAUUAUUUCGAGGUCUGACAGUGUUUUAGGAUCUGGGCAUGAAGUCCGCAAGCAUGUCAUGUUAUUAAAAUCUACAUUAACAGAACUGAAAAGAGAAUAAGAAAGGUGACAAUAUUAAGAAAAGAGACAUUUGUUAACGAUAAAAUAUUAAUUUCAUUUAUUUGAAACUUUUAUUUAAUAUAGAAGAGUUUACAUCAGAAAGAAAAGCAGUGAAGUAAAACAUCCAGAUUACACCCUGAAAUAAUUCGUACGCAGAAAAGACAGCAAGACCGGCUACCGAGACUCCCAUCUAACAAAGAACUUUUCAGGUUUGCCACUCGUUUUUAGGUUUCUCUUCUGCCGCGAUAAUAGUUAAUGUGGCUUUCAAUGGUGGAUCGUCAAGUCUUCAACAGCCCUUUUGAGGGUCCAGCAGUCCUCUGUAUCAUGUCACACUGCUCUAGAGUGGUAUUCACAUCUAGCAUCAGCUUGAUGCGAGGGGGACUCGGGGUUUGGCCGGUACGGGGCCACUGGCUGCAGCAGACCUAGCCUGAUUAGCUUUUGAAACAAACUUGAAUAUGAUUCACGGCUCUCUUGGGCAAGGAUUGUAUUGGGGAAUAUUUGGUUGGGGAUUAUAUGGAGCUUGGUAAGGAUGGGAAUUUCUAGGAGGUAGAGCUCGGUUUUGUGUAUAAUGUUGUGGUCGUCUGUAAGGUUGCACGUUCAUUACCGCAUAGGGAGGUGGUGCCACGGAAUAAGCAGCAUCUUGAUGGGGAUAAUAGUGUUGUGGGAUCUUAGGAAGCAUAUAUAAUUGGUUAAAUGACCUACGGGCCCCCCUCGAGCUCGAAGCCAUCAUGGCUCCCUCUUACCUCCUGCUUAUGUUCAUUAAACCCCCUGAACCAUUCCGAACGGUCUGUGAUGUUGCCUUAAAGGCAGCAUGUCUCAAGAUUUGGCCCGUUUUUAAAUUAUUUUUUACCAUCUCCCCAAUUUUGAUAGCCUCGGCGAACGGAUUACUUAUAGCAGACAUCAUGUUCUGGAAGUAGUCCGCCUCUUGGGCCUGUAGGAAAACCGUAACCAUUUCUGCUUCGUCCAUUGGAGGCUUUACCCUGGCGGCUUGUUCGCAUUGUUUGACAGCAUAUUCACGGAAACUUUUCGUGUUUUCUUUUUCAAAUUAGACAAAGAGUUCUCUUUUUGGAUUUUUCACUCUUGCUUUCUUUCUUUUCUUUUUUUGGGUUGUUUUUCGCUCUUCGUUUUUCUUUGUUAUUUUUGCCACUCUUUUCUUUAUUUUUCUUUCUUCUUCUUUUUUCACUCGGUUUAUUUAAUGGCUAUGAUCGAAUUCGAUGGGGAAUGCCUACGUAUCAUAACGUCGCAUGAAUCAGAUCAUUACAUAGUUCAGAAAAAUCAGGAAUUGAGUAAAUAAACUAACUCUUUUUUUAACUUUUUAUAAAACUCGGACCAUGAAAGCUUCUAGAAAAAGAAAUAUUUUUGAAUUUAAAUUAAUUAUUAUUUUUUGGAUUUUCUAAGGAAAGAAUUCUAAGAAGGAAUUAAGGAAAGGAAAAAUAUUUUUAGAUUUUUUGAAAAUUGGGGCCGGACGCGAUGAAGGUUUGUCUACGUAUCUCACAUCCGGUGAGAAUCAGACCUGCAUAGUUCGGUCUGUUUUGACACAACAGGAAAAAUAUGACUUUGGAAAACAUUAGCUCAUUUUGAAAUAACUUUUAUUUUCCUCUUUUUUGUUUUUAAAAUUUCGGCAGAGUUUCUUUAUUUUUCAUACCUGGAUUUUUCAGAACCGGGAAAUAUUUUUUUCUCUCCUACCUCCCUCUUGGUUUUUUUCUUAAUUUUCUUUCCCUACUCUAGAAGCCGGUCAACAUGCAAGCCGAAACGAACAAAUGCACAAGUAACACGUAAAAUGCAUCAGGGUGAUCUUUUAAUUUGGGUACACCUGUCCUAGACGGAUCCAACCCCUAUGUUGAGUCCCCAAAGUCAAAUGCACGUGAUGCAAAUAAAUAUUCUCACUAUGGAUCCGGCAUGAGGCUAUGUUAUUCUAGCUUUGAAUCCUUGGUUGUGUUGUUCUAGACCUGGCUUACCCGAGCAGACAACUCGUGUAACCCCCCAAAAUUUUACUAAUAUUUGUAUUCUCGAUUGAGCAUCUUUAUAAAGAGGAGAUAUUUUACUUCGCACUUCCUAAACGUGAAAUUUAUAAUAUAUAAAAAUUCCUUACUUUAGUUUGUGUUAAUAUUGACAAAGAAGUUCCAUGGUAUUGUUAUGUGUAACAUUUAAUAUUAUUUUAAUGAAUUAUUUUUAAAUACAUUAGAUAUCUACGGUUUUGGGCUGCCACCCUUUUGUAUUUAUCUAAAGAUAUUUAGUACGUUGGGCAGCCGCAUUUUUCAUAUUUAUCCAAAGUUUUUAUAUUACUUUUGUGACAUGCUUUUUCAUAACCUCAUCUUAUUUUCAGUCUUUAAUGCCAAAGAAAACCCCAUCUCUCUCUCCUUCUUAUCACAUGAAAAACUCCAUGAAAACCAUCAUGAAUUUCUACUAAACCAACCAGCAAAACUCGUUUUUGGUGAAGCUCAAGUUGCUCCUCUCUUUUAUGGUAAGUUACUAAACCCAUUUUUACACUAGACAACUAUUAGUAUUUUCUUCAUAUCUCUUUGUAUAUAGCUCCGUUUUAAGUGAUCUAAGACUUUAUGGAAAGCUAUUUCAUAGAUCUAUAACUCUUAUGAAGGAUCCAAAACCUGGUUUAUCUUUUAUUUAUCCGAACAUAGGUGAUGAAGUACAUGGUAGGUGCUGCCCAGAUUUUACUAUUUUAGGGUGUGUUAAUAACUCAAGUCUUGUAAUAUGCUGAAUUUAGACUUUGUCUUGUAAAUAUGUACAAAGAAAAAAACUAGAUUUUUUUUAUACCCGAUAGUUUGAAAUUUAUGUACAAUACAAACUUGCAUGAUGUUGAAUGAAAGUAUAAUUUUGUUAGGAGGUUGAUUUAACGUGUUGAUUAUUUAAGAAGGGUUAUAUCACCUUAUGUUGAUAUUUUGACAUUGUAUAUCAUAAAAAAAAAUUAAAAAGAGUAUUUUCAAAAAUAAAAAUAUUGCACUUUGGACCUCAUCGCAUAGGCCUAUUUCCGCUACUAAAUUAUUCUGAAUAUUUUUUUUAAAAUUAAUAUCUUCUUAAUGUUGUAAGUUGUAAAUUAGAUUUGUUUCAUAAGUAGCACCCUCCCAAAGGGGUUGCUACAAGUUUUGGUAUCAGAGCCUAGGUUUGUGAUUCUAGGAUUUUUGUUGUGAUCGUACUUAAUAUGUUUUGUUAUUUUCUUUGUUGAAAAUGACUUUGAGAUUAUAAAUUAUUACAUACUUGUUUAAUGUAAUUUGUUGUAUUCCUUGUGCAUAUGCAUCAUGCACAUGUCCCUAAUACAAUGUGAUCUUAUCUUUUAUAGGAAUUUUAAUAUGGCCUCUUCUUCGAAUAGAGCUAUUGAAUCCGUUGAUGAAAGUCAGGCCCAUUAUAAUGCUCCACCUCACCUCCAAGAGGGAGAUGAGGUACCCUUGCCUAACCUAAAUCAUCAUAGUGUUAGUGAAAAUGAAGUGGGCAAUAAUCCAAGAGCAAUGGGUUAUAGUACUCCUAUUAUGACUCCUCCAUUUCAGCAGAUGGUUGAGUUCUUUCGUCACUUGGCUGGAACAAUGUCAGAACCUAGUGAAAUGAAUUUUGAGAAGAUGAAGAAAAUGGGUGGAGUUGAAUUUGAAGGCACUAUUGAUCCCACGGUAGCUGAACAAUGGAUCGAGCGCAUGGAGAGGGUCUUUGAACAACUAGAGUGUACUAAUGCUUCCAAAUUUAAGUAUGCUAUCUCUCUUUUACAAAAAGAUACCUAUGAUUGGUGGGUAAGUGUGCCAAAUGCAAAAGCAAAACCUCCGGUGCUGACUUGGGAUGACAUUGUGAAAGCAUUUCGUGUGAAAAUAUGCGUCUAUUGUGAUGCUAAGAAAAAAGAGUUUCUGAAUUUAAGACAAGGGAGUAUGUCUAUUGCAUGGUAUCAACAAAAAUUUCUAAGGCUCUCUCGCUAUGCUGGAGGUAUUAUUGAUGGUGAAAGAGACAAGUGCACAAGAUCUGAAGAAGGUUUGAAUGGUUACAUUCGAAAGUAUAUGGCAAUCUUGCAACUUGAGGAUUUUUCCAAGUUAAUUUCAGCUGCUCUUACUUGGAAAAGAAUUGAAAAGGAANNNNNNNNNNNNNNNNNNNNNNNNNNNNNNNNNNNNNNNNNNNNNNNNNNNNNNNNNNNNNNNNNNNNNNNNNNNNNNNNNNNNNNNNNNNNNNNNNNNNNNNNNNNNNNNNNNNNNNNNNNNNNNNNNNNNNNNNNNNNNNNNNNNNNNNNNNNNNNNNNNNNNNNNNNNNNNNNNNNNNNNNNNNNNNNNNNNNNNNNNNNNNNNNNNNUUGUCCUAAUCUUAAUCCUCUUUCUUAUACACAUAAGAGGGCUCAGUUCAAAAGCCUGUCACUACUCAUUCUCAAGCUAAUAGCAGCGCAAGACCUAGAAAUGUGCAAGCAGCGGGUUCGGGUGGAGCUAAUCAGGUUAGUGGAUUGAGAUCUACUGCACUAGUCUAUGUUAUGAGACAGAGGAAUAACCAAGAUGGCCCGGACGUGGUUGUUGGUAAAUUUCACUUAUUUGGCAUAUUUGUUGUUACAUUAUUUGAUCCUGGAUCUUCGCACUCUUAUGUUUGCUCAUCACUUGCAUUUCCUGAUACUGUUAAAUCUGUGAGACUUGACUUUGAUGUGCUGGUCACGAGUCCGUUAGGUCAUCAGGCUGUUGUUAACAGGAUUUACCGAGAUUGUCCAUUCAUGAUUCAAAAUCUGGUCUUCCCUGCAGACUUGAUUGAAAUGCCCUUCCAAGACUAUGAUGUUAUUGUUGGUAUGGAUUGGCUCCAUAGGUACCAUGUAUUGGUUGAUUGUAGGUUGAAGCAGGUGACUUUUAGAACUCAUGGAUAUUCACACAUAGUAGUUCAAGAAGAAAGAUCAUUGACAUCUAAUAUUAUCUCUGCGGUCUUGACAAGGAAGAUGAUUUGUCAAGGUUGCGAUGCCUAUCUUGCUCAUAUAGUCGAUACACAAUUGGGGAGUCCAAGUCUUAAGGACAUACCCACCAUAUGCGACUUUCCUGGUGUAUUUCCUGAUGAUCUUCCUAGGUUGCCUCCCAAAAGGGAGAUUGAAUUUCCUAUAGAGCUUGUCCCUGGAACUACUCCUAUUUCUAUAGCUCCUUAUAGAAUGGCUUCAGUUGAAUUAAAAAAGUUGAAGGCUCAAUUGCAAGAACUUGUUGAGAAAGGUUUUAUCUGUCCCAGUAUUUCACCUUGGGGAGCUCCUGUUUUUUUUGUGAAAAAGAAAGAUGGCACUCUUAGGCUUUGCAUUGAUUACCGACUGAACAAGGUAACAAUCAAGAACAAAUACCCACUGCCUAGAAUCGAUAACUUUUUUGACCAACUGAAGGGUUCCAGCUUGUUCUUAAAAAUUGACUUGAGGUCUGGAUAUUAUCAGUUGCGCAUGAGGGAGCAAGAUAUUCCUAUUCCUAAAACUACUUUUAGGACCAAGUAUGGCCAUUAUGAAUUUUUGGUAAUGCCAUUUGGUUUGACAAAUGCUCCUACUGCAUUUAUGGAUCUAAUGAACCGUGUAUUCAAGCCUUACCUUGAUCAAUUUGUGGUGGUCUUUAUUGAUGGCGUUUUAGUCUAUUCCAAGAAUAGAGAAGAUCAUGAUAAGCAUCUCUGAAUUUUCAUGCAAAUUCUGAAAGAGAGGCAACUCUAUGCGAAGCUUUCCAAAUGUGAAUUUUGGUUGAGUGAAGUGGCAUUUUUGGGGCAUACUGUAUCAGCUGAAGGUGUGAAGGUUGAUCCUAGUAAGAUUCAAGCUAUUAUUGUUUGGAAACCUCCUAAAACUCCAAUUGAGAUUAGAAGUUUCUUGGGUUUAGAAGGAUACUAUAGGAGGUUCGCGAAGGGUUUCUAUAUUAUAGCUUCUCCUUUGACCAAACUUUUGGGGAAAGAUGCCAAAUUUAUGUGAGAUGACAAGUGUCAAGAGAGAUUUGAAAAGCUCAAAUCCUUGUUGACACAAGCUCCAAUACUUUCUUUGCUAACUGAAAGGAAAGAUUAUGUGGUAUACAGUAAUGCAUCUCACCGUGGCUUGGGUUGUGUUUUGAUGCAAAAAGGGAAAGUAAUUGUGUAUGCCUCCCCAAAUUUAAAAUCACAUGAGUUGAAUUAUCCCACUCACGAUCUUGAACUUGCUGCCAUUGUUUUUGCCUUAAAAAUUUGGAGGCACUACUUGUACGGGGAGAAGUGUUAUAUACUUACUGAUCACAAGAGUUUGAAAUACUUGGCUACACAAAAAGAGUUAAACUUGAAACAAUGUAGAUGGCUUGAACUCAUCAAAUAUUAUGAUUGCAUGAUUGAUUAUCAUCCUGGUAAAGCUAAUGUGGUUGCAGAUGUGUUGAGUCGCAAUUCCCUUGCAAGUUUAACUCUAAGUCUGUUGCCCUUGCUUCUUGAAUUAAGAGUCAUGAAUGCUUGUCUUUCAUUUAAUUCUAAUGGUUCUAUCAUUGCUAAUUUUCAAGUCAAGCCAGUCUUACUUGAGCAGGUCCAUGAAGCACAGAAGUUAGAUGAGAAGCUUGGGAAACGAGUUGAAGAAGUCCAAAAUGGAAGAGAAUCAGAUUUUACAUUGAAGAAAAAUGAUACCUUAUUUUAUAAAAAUAGGUUGUGUGUUCCUAAUGAUGAUGAAUUGAGUAAGCAGAUCUUGAUUGAAGCACAUAGUUCACCUUAUGCAAUGCAUCCUGGAGGUACUAAAAUGUAUCAGACCAUCAAGGAGCACUACUGGUGGAGUGGUAUAAAGAAAGACAUUAUAGAGUUCAUUUCUAAAUGCUUGGUAUGUCAACAAAUAAAAGUUGAACAUCAAGUCCCAGCUGGUCUACUGCAACCCUUGUCAAUACCUGAGUGGAAAUAAGAAAGGAUAACGAUGGACUUUUCACGCACUCAAAGGAAUCAUGAUGCAAUUCGGGUCAUUGUAGAUAGACUAACUAAGAGUGCUCAUUUCUUGGCAAUCAGAAUGGACUACUCACUAGAACGUUUGGCAGAAUUAUACAUUAAUGAGAUUGUGAAGCUGCAUGGAAUCCCUGUUUCUAUUGUGUCUGACAGAGAUCCAUGGUUUACAUCCAGAUUCUGGUCUAGCUUGCAAAAAGCUUUGGGUUCCAAGUUAAGUUUUAGUACCGUUUUCCAUCAACAAACAGACAGCCAGUCUGAAAGGGUAAUACAAAUCUUGGAGGAUAUGCUUCGAGCCUCCAUUAUUGAGUUUGAGGGUAGUUGGGACAAACACUUAGCUCUGAUAGAAUGUGCUUACAAUAAUAUCUACCAAUCAAGUAUAGGCAUGCCUCCUUAUGAAACUUUGUAUGGGAAAAAAUGCAGAACGCCUCUUUGUUGGAACGAGGUUGGUGAAAGAAAAUUGGUGGGUCCUUAGAUUGUUCAACAAACUGAAGAUAAGGUAAAACUCAUCAAGGAUCGCUUAAAAAUUGCCUCAGACAGAUAAAAGUCUUAUAUUGAUCUUAAGAGGCGUGAAAUUGAGUAUAAAGUGGGUGAUAAGGUAUUUUAAAAGGUUUCUCCAUAGAGGAAGAUUAUGAGAUUUGGCCAAAAAGGUAAACUUAGUCCAUGAUUUAUUUGAUCUUAUGAAGUGCUUGAGAGAGUUGGCUCAGUUGCUUAUAAACUAACUCUUCUACCAGAGUUAGAAAAGAUCCGCAACGUCCUCCAUGUUUCUAUGCUUAGAAGAUACCGCUCAGAUCCAUCUCAUGUUCUUCCUAUUGAAUCUAUUGAGGUCAAUUCUGAUUUGACAUAUGAAGAAGAACCAAUCCAAAUCUUAGUGUGUGAGUUAAAGGAGAUUAGAAACAAGAGCAUCCCCUUAGUGAAAGUUCUUUGGAAAAAUCAUUCUGGCGAAGAAGCUACCUGGGAGCGAGAAGAGGAUAUGCAAGUUCAAUAUCCACAUUUGUUUCGAGACUAGUACAAGGUAAAUUUAGGGAAGAAAUUUGUUUAAGGGGGAGAGAGUUGUACCACCCCAAAUGUUUACAAAUAUUUACAUUCUCAAUUGAGCAUCUUUAUAAUGAGGAGAUAUUUUACUUCACACUUCCUAAAUGUGAAAUUUACAAUAUAUGAAAAUUCCUUACUUUAGGUUGUGUUAAUAUUGACAAAGAAGUUUCAUGGUGUUGCUAUGUGUAACACUUAAUAUUAUUUUGAUGAAUUAUUUUUAAAUACAUUAGAUAUCUAAGGUUUUGGGCUUCUAUCCUUUUGUAUUUAUCUAAAGAUAUUUAGUAGGUUGGGCAGCUACAUUUUUCAUAUUUAUCCAAAGUUUUUAUAUUACUUUUGUGAUAUGCUUUUUCAUAACCUCAUCUCAUUUUCAGUCCUUAAUGCCUAAGAAAACACCAUCUCUCUCUCCUUAUUAUCACCUGUAAAACUCCAUGAAAACCAUCAUAAAUUUCCACUAAACCGACCAGCAAAACUCGUUCUUGAUGAAGCUCAAGUUGCUCCUCUCUUUUGUGGUAAGUUACUAAACCCGUUUUUACACUAGACAGCUAUUAAUGUUUUCUUCAUAUCUUUUUGUAUAGAGCUCCGUGUUAAGUGAUCUAAGACUUUUUGAAAAUAUAUUUCAUAGAUCUAUAACUCUUAUGAAGAAACCAAAACAUGGUUUGUAUUUUAUUUACCCGAAAUUAGGUGAUGAAGUAUAGGGCAGGUGUUGCCCAGAUUUUGUUGUUUUAGGUCGUGUUAAUAACUCAAGUCUUGUAAUAUGCUGAAUUUACAUUUUGUCUUGUAAAUAUGUACAAAGGAGAAAAUUACUUUUCAUUUUUAUACCCGAUAGUUUGAAAUUUAUGUACAAUACAAACUUGCGGUGAUUUGAAUAAAAGUAUAAUUUUGUUAGGAAGUUGCUUUAACGUGUUGAUUGAUCAAGAAGGGUUAUAUCACCUUAUGUUGAUAUUUUGACAUUGUAUUUCGUAAAAAAGAAAAAACUAUUUUAAAGAGUAUUUUCAAAAAUAAAAAUAUUGCACUUUGGACCUCAUCGCAUGGGCCUAUUUCCGCUACUAAAUUAUUCUGAAUUUAUUUUUUACUUAAUAUCUUCUUAAUGUUGUAAGUAGUAAAUUAGAUUUGUUUCAUAAGUAGUACCGUCCCAAAGGGGUUACUUUAACUCGAGCCGUGGGGGGGAGGGGGGAGGUGGGACGUACCGGGAACCAAAAGGUCAUUCAGCUUUUGUAACUGAUCUGAUCCUCGUUCUAAAAUUAGGGAUAUGACACUCUAACAGAAAAGAAACCACGCCGGCGUGUGCUUCCCAGACGAUAUAGAAGACUCAGAGAGAAGAAGGGUGUUGUAACAGUUUUAUAUACAGUUCAAACAAUAUCGAGUUGUCACACCAUUUUUUCCCCGAAGAAUAUAGGAGUUUUUUCAAUUAAAGUGACAUUAUUCGAAAUGGGAUUAUUUAUUUAAUUAGAGUCGCCACUUGAAAUAUUUAUUAUGGUGUCCCAAGUCACCGGUUUAUUUUAAAAUCCCAAAUCGAGGAAAUUGACUCUAUUUAUGGUCCGCGAACACAGAAAACUGGGUAAAAAAUUCUGUUAACCCGGAAGAAGGUGUGAGGCACUCCCGAGUUCUGUGGUUUUAGCACGAUCGCUUAACAAUUAGUACUUGGCUUAUUUAAAUUGUAACCACUUUUAUUUUUAGCCAUUUUUAGUAUUUAUGGAAUUUAUUUGAACAAGUCACAAUGUCACGCACUUAUUAUUUUUGUACACAUUGCAAAUCACGUCACGUGAAACGUACCCGCAAUUUACAACAUAUUUAUUUUAUUAUUAUUUGAAGUUGGGGUCAAGUCACGUAAACGCGCACUUAAUUGAGAUUUACAUAUCAUGACCAUGCCACGGGAACCGUACCCAUAGUCAAGAUAAUUUAUUAAUUAAUCGCGCCUAAAGCAACUAGCGCGUUUGAAUUAUUUUUUCUACUUCGAGAUUAUUGUGAAGAACAAAGGUUAUGGAAUAGUUGUGGGAAAAUGUAGUAUUUGAUUAACGUUUUUUACUAAAUCAAAAAAAAAAACAUGGAUUAACUUAUAUCUAAACCCAUAUUCCUUCUAACGCACACCAUCGGUAAAAUAACAAUUAAACUCUACAAGCUCGGAAGUCCAUAAUUUAGUUCCACCCCAUUAAAUAAACACUCUUAUAUAAAGAUAUAAUCUAACUUUUGCCUCUCUAGUAACAUUGAUCCACUUAUUUCCAUUAAAUAAAUAAAUAAAUAAUUUGCGGUACACUCGAAGAAUAAAAAUUAGAUAUUUGGGUCAAAGAGCGAAUUCUUGAGGGAACGCCUCAACCAUAAACUAAUAGAUUAGAACAUAAAACCAACAAAAUCACCACCUAAGCAAUACAUGGUUAAUUUAAGCAAAUAUGCAGCAGGAUAUUUCAUGCAAUAAUCUUUAUCUGAUCAAAAUAAAUAAAUAAAUCCGAACCAGCAUCUAAAAAUUGACACACAUAUAGAUCAAUAACAGAGAAUGAAGAUAAGAGAUUGGACCUCUAUAGAUUUCUUUGCAAUUUGAGAAAAAGGACAAAACAAACUCUGACACUUGAAACCAAACUUCAACGCCGAGACCGACGGGAAAGCGACAUCCAGGACACAAACGGAGUAGUCGAACAGAAACUCGCCAUUGACUGGAAACCUUGAACCCAGCAAAACAUCACUGUUUUAGGUGGGGGGGGGGGGAGGACUAUUCUGAGGUAUUUUUAUGGCUAAUUUGGUGCAUUUUUCUGGAUUUUCUUUGCGUUAUUUGGGCCAAGGAGGGGACAUUUGUAGACUGUUUUUUGCUGGAUUUGAGGGCUAUUUUCAGAGCUGAUUUUCGGGACUGUUUCAGCUGAAUUUUGGGGUCACGGGUUUUGGGGCUGGUUUUGCUUAGUUUUGGGGACUAUUUUGAGGAGGUUUUGGGGGUGUUUUUCAGCUGUGUUUUGGCUGCACUUUUGGACUGUUUUUGAGGCUGUUUCGAGGUGGUUUAGAGGCUGGUUUAUGGAGAGAUUUUACCUCAUUUUUCGAGCUUUAUUCGGCUGGUUUCAAUGGAGUUUUAGGGGGUUGCUUUUGGGGUGUUCAUGGCUGGAAAAGAAGAGGAUGUAUGGGGGUUUUUGGGUGGUGUUUUAGUCGCUUUAUGACUGAAUUUUCAUGAUUGUUUAGGGGGCUUUUAGAGCUGGUUUUCACAUAGGGAAGAAAGGCUCGUGAGCUGCUGCUAUAGAGAAAAAGAUGCAGUGGAUUUUCGUUGCUGCUUUGAGGAAGGGAACAAUCCCUCUUUUCUUUCCAAUCUCCCGUUUCUCUCUCAUUUUUCAGCGAUUUUCCCCGGCCCCCUUU